rnacentral:rRNA from 1 species
UGGGGAAUUUUGGACAAUGGGCGCAAGCCUGAUCCAGCAAUGCCGCGUGUGUGAAGAAGGCCUUCGGGUUGUAAAGCACUUUUGUCCGGAAAGAAAACCUCGUGGUUAAUACCCGUGGGGGAUGACGGUACCGGAAGAAUAAGCACCGGCUAACUACGUGCCAGCAGCCGCGGUAAUACGUAGGGUGCAAGCGUUAAUCGGAAUUACUGGGCGUAAAGCGUGCGCAGGCGGUUCGCUAAGACAGAUGUGAAAUCCCCGGGCUUAACCUGGGAACUGCAUUUGUGACUGGCGGGCUAGAGUAUGGCAGAGGGGGGUAGAAUUCCACGUGUAGCAGUGAAAUGCGUAGAGAUGUGGAGGAAUACCGAUGGCGAAGGCAGCCCCCAGGGCAAAUACUAACGCUCAUGCACGAAAGCGUGGGGAGCAAACAGG